AUUAAAAUCCAGCAGUUGUGGUCAAGCUUCAUGUGCAGUGUUGUUAGCCGCUGAGAUGAAGAUUCCACUGUGUAAAGUAAUUAGAUUCAACAUCGACUACACGAUUCAUUUCAUUGAAGAGAUGAUGCCGGAGAAUUUUUGUGUGAAAGGGCUUGAACUCUUUUCACUGUUCCUAUUCAGAGAUAUUUUGGAAUUAUAUGACUGGAAUCUUAAAGGUCCUUUGUUUGAAGACAGUCCUCCCUGCUGCCCAAGAUUUCAUUUCAUGCCACGUUUUGUAAGAUUUCUUCCAGAUGGAGGAAAGGAAGUGCUGUCCAUGCACCAGAUUCUCCUGUACUUGUUAAGGUGCAGCAAAGCCCUGGUGCCCGAGGAGGAGAUUGCCAAUAUGCUUCAGUGGGAGGAGCUGGAGUGGCAGAAAUAUGCAGAAGAAUGCAAAGGCAUGAUUGUUACCAACCCUGGGACGAAACCAAGCUCUGUCCGUAUCGAUCAACUGGAUCGUGAACAGUUCAACCCCGAUGUGAUUACUUUUCCGAUUAUCGUCCACUUUGGGAUACGCCCUGCACAGUUGAGUUAUGCAGGAGA
rnacentral:sRNA from 1 species